rnacentral:rRNA from 1 species
GAUGAACGCUAGCGGCAGGCUUAAUACAUGCAAGUCGAGGGGCAGCAUGACUGUAGCAAUACAGUUGAUGGCGACCGGCAAACGGGUGCGGAACACGUACACAACUUACCCUAGACUGGGGGAGUAGCCUUCCGAAAGGGAGAUUAAUACCUCAUAGGAUCGUAGAGUGGCAUCACUUAGCGAUUAAAGCUCAGGCGGUUUAGGAUGGGUGUGCGGCNGAUUAGGUAGUUGGCGGGGUAACGGCCCACCAAGCCUAUGAUCAGUAACUGGUGUGAGAGCACGA